rnacentral:rRNA from 1 species
UACAGGGGGGGCAAGCGUUGUUCGGAAUUACUGGGCGUAAAGGGUCUGUAGGUGGCCAACUAAGUCAGACGUGAAAUCCCUCAGCUUAACUGGGGAACUGCGUCUGAUACUGGAUGGCUCGAGUGUGGGAGAGGAAUGCGGAAUUCCAGGUGUAGCGGUGAAAUGCGUAGAUAUCUGGAGGAACACCGGUGGCGAAGGCGGCAUCCUGGACCGAUACUGACGCUGAGGUGCGAAAGCGUGGGGAGCAAACAGG